CUAGGCACGCCUCCUAUCGCUCAAAUUUGAAUUUACACACCAGUCCGUUGCUGCUCUGUUUAUCUGCAGUCCUGCUCCGUUCAGUGCAGUAGUAAUGGCUUUUACAUGGACUAUCACAUAUCUGACAGAUGAAUUCUUAUUUUGACCGAUUUUGAGUUAUGCGGUGCAGAUUGAGAACGAAAAAGCGCAAAUAUGAACACAGACACAAUGGCUAAUGGACACAUAUUGCAAACGGCAGAAGAGAGGACAUGAAACCAUUCUUGGACUCUGAAGAAUACUAUGCAAACCAUGCUUUUGGAUCUACUGUUAAGUUUUUGUAAUAAAGCUGAGGUUUUGGGAUUGAAAUUAUUCUGCCACAUGAUCUUCCGUAAAAGUG